CUGUUACUUCUCCCCCAUACACAUCAAGCUGUAACUACUUAGUAUUAGCCUUCUACUGAUGGAGAGGAGAGGGACUAUAAACCCACUGAGAAUAAGAAGCAACCUGAAAGGCCCCUCCCAUGCUUUCUUGAGAGAGUGUUCCUACCACUUGCCUGGAGAAGUGGACAGGCCUGGUGUCCUGUAGCUCCUACCUUUCAGAGGCCCAUUAAAAGUGCAUCUACAUGAGCAGUUUUAUGUGCAAAAAUGGGCCUCUGUAGGUUGAAUUUGCCUUGCAUUUGAGCUUCUGGUGUGCACUCGGGCUCCUAAAGCAGUUUCAUCCCCUGGUGGAACUUAGUCGUGUGAAAGGAUCUCCUCUGGUUUUUGUCACUUGCAAGUGACCUUACAGCUGGUGCUCUGUACAAGCCUAGGACUGGCAACCAGUAGAAAUUUCACUGCUGGUAAUGCCAUGGUGAGGUCGUGCAGUCCUAGAAGUGCAACAGAUUGCAUCAUGUCAUGGUGUGGUCCUUCCCUCCCUGCAUCACAGCAAUCAGCAAUGGAAGCACGCUCCAUGGUUGGAACUGCUGCCCUCUGCAAGGGACACCAUCUCCAGAAAGUCCACAAACCCUGCUGAGGCUCGGGUUUGAAGUGGAGCUGAUAAAUCAGAGCUGUCUCUACUCUACUAGCUGCCUCUUUAUUCAGAUACUCACUGAGGAUCUUGUCUGGGAGAGGAAAAGAAGAAAGAUUCAGCCCCAAGAUAUCUGUCUAUGAAACGAGUUAUCUUCCAUUGCAGCCAAUAAGUGGAAAUCUCUUCCUACUGGGUGGACACUGUUCCCAGUUUACUGUGUUUCACUGAUACUUUCAAGGACUUUGCAAGAACAGUUAAGGGAUCUUUCCAUCUUAGGAAGGAAUGGGAUUCUCCAACUUGAUACUUCUUUCCAGAUAUCUCUAGUUCUCCUUAAAAUCAAGAUCCUCCAGAGAAUGAAUUUCUGAAUUGUGAAAGAAGCUUUAAGAUUAAGUUUCUUUUGGAAAUGCCUAU
rnacentral:lncRNA from 1 species